AGUUCGAGGCUUGUGGCUGGCGGAGCUUUUACGCUCUCAGGCAAUUUUUCCAACUUUUGCGUCGCACCCUGAGAGCGAUUUGGUGCAAUAUCGUGCGAUUUCUGCGACUGUGCGUUGUUGAUCGGUUUGUAAAACUCAGAAGUAAGGAAAAGCGAAAGCGAGGCUGUGUCAGUUGACGCUGAAAGUCGAGUGGCAGCAGCAGCAAGUGCGCGGUGGCCAUAUUGUUUGUGCUAGCAGCUAGGCUGUAAAGUGAGCGAGCAUAGUCGUGCGUGUGUGUUUGUUUUGGUGAGCACAGUUAACCUGGGCGACGUGUCCUUGACGUCCUCAAGUGCGUUAUCAUCUACGGCCAGUAACAGUAUUGCAAAGAACUAGUUGCGAUACAGCAACGAGGAGCGCCAGAAGAAAGACGGAAGAAAAGGGCAGCUUAGGCAAAGAGAGUUAAGAUGGCCUGCGCCACCCUCAAACGCUCGCUGGAAUUCGAUCCGGUGCACAGCCACGGCAGACCGAACAAACGAAGACGAUGCAUCCCUGUGAAUGUGUCGCCAACCGCUACAAGCAGCAAACCGCCGAGUAGCUUUGGCGAUAUCGCCAACAAGCUUACGCCUGAAAAAAUGGCAGCAAACAUCAGAGAAGAAAUCCGUAGAUUACAACGGCGUAGACAAUUACAUUUCAUCUCGCAAAGCGACUCUUCUGACAUGGAAGGACCAGUCAGUCCAUCUAGCCCAUCUUGUUCAAAUGCUCACAAUAGCAGUAGUAAAGAUAAGCCACUUUUUACUUUCAAACAGGUUAAUUUGAUUUGCGAACGAAUGCUGAAGGAGCAGGAAACACAAAUUCGCGAGGAAUAUGAUCAGAUAUUAACUAUGAAGUUAUCGGAGCAAUAUGAUGCUUUUGUCAAAUUUACUUACGAUCAGAUACAGAAACGAUUCGAAUCGGCAGCUGCUCCAAGCUACUUGUCCUAAAGGCGAAAACGUUACAAUAAAAAAGAGAGUGUCUAUUGAGGUGAUUAGGUAAAAUAUUUCUAUACAACGUAAGUGAAUAACAUUUUCGAGCAGAGUAAGCAGCGCCACCUCGCUGAUCAGAUAAGUAAGGCAAAAGAAGCAAUGUAUCACACACAUCAAAAACAGAAAAAAAUCUUCGGUAGUAAAAAAGAACAUGGCGAGAAAAAAAACGAUUUAGUAAUGUAAGUUUAGUAAGUUUGCAAUGAAAAAGCGAUCGCACUACGAGUAAAAAAAGCAACAAAUCCACAAUGUUUGCUAGUUAAACUAACAAUGUUUUUACCGUUUAGUAAUAGAAGCGCGCUGGUAUCAGGGAACUACAUAUAGAGUCUAUAACUAAUGCAAAAUCAAGUGUAGAUACUAAUUUGUUUUUCAACGAAGAGACAGCGCCACCGAGCAAUACAUGCAACGCGGAGAGUACAUUAUAUUUUGUAAUCUCUUGUUAUGAAGGAAUGGAGUUGAUAUUUACACCCUAAAAGUAAAACUAGCGUGUUUUUUUGUAGCAUAAACCGAAUGCAAUGAUGACGUUGCCUUGAUGUAAUUAUAUUAAAAUGUAAGACACGCCCACGCACAUACACAUACUGACUGCCUUUGUUGAUAACUCCUUGUCAAAGUUUAAAAUUGACAGUGUUAACGGUUUUUGAACAUCAUUAUUAUCUUGUUUGAAUGAAAAAGAGACGGCUAGAACUUGAACGUGCAAGUUUUUCGCGUACUCGACUUUGAUAAUAUACCAAACAUCUAAACUCACGACGUAUCGCUAAUAAACAGUACCUGUUGUGACGAAAAGAAUCUCUGCAGAACCGAGAUCAUUU